rnacentral:lncRNA from 1 species
GAAAAUAAAAAUUCACUUGCCUCUCUAUCUUUCUGCAGUUGUGUAUGAUUUAUUAGAGAGAGAGAGAGAGAGACAGGAACAAGACGAAACAAUCUUUAGAACAAGAAAGGGAAACCAAAACAUACAAAGCACUGUUGUUUUAAAAGGGAGGUAAGAAAGAUCCAGAAGUAACCUCAAGAUCAGAAGCAACAAGAGCUAAUAUACCAGUUUUUUUAGUGAGAGAGAGUUGGGAAACAGGUUUUUAGAUCAUUAGAGAGAGGAAGCGAAAACAAAAAAAAGAGUCGCAGUGUUCUUUUUCAUCUCUGCUGAGCCUCAGACAAAGAGAGAUAGUGACAGUAGAUUUCGAAGAAUCUAUUUUGGAUUUGUUUUUUUGUUCUUUGGUUUUUAUAGCAAAAGAGAAAAGUCUGAUCAGGAUCCAUCUGAGGACUUGUGUAAUAGAUGUAUAUGGGUUAUGUACAUUGGAGCUCUGUGCUGUGAUUUCUUUUUUUUUUUUUUUUUAAUUUGUGGGAUUAGGGUUUUGGUUUAAUCAGCUGUGGCUACAACGAGGAGGAAUAAUCUACCAACGUCAGAUUCCGGUGCCUUCACCGACUGGGCGGCGGCGGCGACGACGACGACAUCUUCUCGUGCCACUGAGGAUCUAUCUCUUGGUUUCAAUGCUGGUCN